GAGGAAAUAAUAGAAUAUGGGCUUCAAACGCGUAACAAGCUCGACCCGGGAACCUUCCUUUUUCUUGCCUCUUGCCGAUGCUUCUGCAACUCUUUCAUCAUUUUUUUCAUGUGCUUUCAGGUAUGUAUAAAUAAUCAAACAAAAUCUUAAUUACUCCAUUCUCAUGCUUUCUUCUUUCUGGUGUUUAUGAUACAAUGCUAAUUUUGUACCUUUGGAUUGCAUACAUGUACGACAUAUUUGGUUUUGAUUAUCAAUUUCCUACACUUUACCUUAAGCUGCUGGUGUCACUGUGAUCUUCAUGAAAAUUAUUAAUUUAAAUUGUCGAUAACAAAGUGAUGGUAAUAGGGUGCUGUGUGAUUCUUUUGAGGACCCAUUAGCUGAAUAGUUUAGGAUCUUAAUUGAACAAAGAGUGAACAGGAAUUUUGCGAUUUCCCUACAAUGUGUUAUGUUAUAUGUCCUAUAUCACCUAUAUAUAUUAAAAAUUUUACUUUUUAAUCUUGGGCUUUUGUUAGAGGUGAAGAUAGUUUGCAUUAAUUUGUUCCAUUUGCGCUUUUAGGCAGGUAUUUUCUAUGAUGUUUAGUGAUUAGAAGUAUGUGCUGAAAGAAUAAAUUAGAUGAACACAUUCGACUAAAACCAUGUAAUUAAGUACUGUCAUCUUGCGUUAUUAAUUAUUAAAAUAAGAUGGUGGAAUACUAUUUACGUUGAACCUCUUGUCUUUCCAGUAAUACCAAUAGUAGUAGAAGAAGAUCAUGACUUAGGUAACCAGUUUCUUGAUUGCUGGACUAUAAUUAGCACCAGAUAGAUUUAUGUUCCUUUUUAUCCCCCGACCCGGACCUUUCAUUCUCUUAUUAACAAGUAAAUAGUUGGCUCCCCAGACUCCAGAGUAACUUGAACGCUACCUUCACCCAUCACUGUUGUGAGCCUGAUCUCUUUCUCAAGAAUUCUUUCAAGAUCUAUCAUAACCAUUUCCAUAUUCGGUCUCCCUUUUCCUGGAAGAGCUAUGCAUCGUAGUGUCAAUCUAAUAAAGUCCUUUAUUCCCUCAGCGGUGAAGCUCCCGACAAGCCGGCGGUCUGUGAUACUGUUUGAAUUUAGGUGCGUCUCCACCUUCACAAAUUUUAGAAAGAACAAUGAAUUUGAAGAAUCAAUGGCCUAUAUAAUAAGACUGUUACAAAAGACAGUGUAAGACUCUAUUAAGUGUUUAACUUUAGUUGGUUUUAGAGAAUGGAGCAGUCAAGUCUUCCCUAAUGUGUUGUACUGUCAUAUGACAUCUACAUACUUAAAAGUGGAUACAUAAAUUUAAAAAGCUGUUCAAAAGUGGACAAGAGGAUAUAUAUAUAUAUAUAUAUAUAUAUAUAUACAUGUAUAUAUUCUCAGUACCCAUUGAAGCAUACUUCCAUCUGAUCUGCAGGAAUCAAUAUGUGAAGCCUCCUGUCCUAUUAUAAGCUCCAAAAGAAAUACCCCAAAGCUGUACACGUCACUCAUCUCGGUAAAUAUCCCUGUUUGAACUGCCCUAAACAUUGUGAUAGAUGAUAAAUCAAAUUUAGGUAAAUACUAACUUGAAAGCAAGUAUAAUAAAGCAAGAAAAGAAUUAGUUUACUCUGGAUCUUCGAAAACAUUGACUCUGGUUGAGCGAGAUGAUGGACCUGCAUCUUCAAUUUUCUCUAGUAGUAUUGAAACUCCUGUAUCUGCUACGUUAGGAAUGAAGUUCUCAUCAACCAAAACAUUUGCUGUCUUGAAGUUACGGUGCACUAUAGGAAUUUGUUGGCUAUGUAAAUGGCAUAAACCUGCAUCAGAAGAACUUUUCAAAUUAUGGCCUGUUCUUCAUCUCAUGGUACAUAAUCAGUUUGUUUGUUGAUACCUCUAGCUGCUCCAAGAGCUAUGGACAGCCUCUGCUUGAACUCGAGCUUUGUUGCUGAAUCUUUUCCACUGGCUGUCAAACGAUGAAUCUCUAUAACAUGACAUGUAACUAAUAAGUAAUUAUGAGCUACUUCUCUCAACGAGUCAUACCAUAUAAAUGACUGCACAUGCUGCCAUUUGGUAAAUAUUCAUACACCAAUAUUUGGUUUCCGCUGUCCUGACAGUAACCUAGAAGAGAAACUAGGUUUCGGUGCCAAAUCCCAGACAAGUAAGCUACCUGUUAUUCCAAAUUGGAAAGUUUAGAAUUAUGAAGAAUACUAGGAAGAAAAGACUUUCAAUGCAAUGAUAAUUGAGAUUUGAGAAGCUGUUGGUAAGAGCUGGAGAUUUUUAUGUUAUUAUUUAUUGUCUCUUGGCAAUGUAGAAGUGAUUCAUUUCCCUUUUACAUGCACUCAUAAGAAUAAUUUUAUUUGGAUCCACAAGCUGAUGAGUUUGUUCAAACAAAUGUUUGUAAUCUUUAGUUGAUCAACGGUAGAAAACAUGAAAUAUUUAAAUUCUAAACAAAUACCUCUCUACAGAAUAAAACAUGAACAUACACAUCUUGAGCUAAAUGCCAUAUUAAAUUGUGUAUAUUUGAUAAUGAUUUUCAGAUUUAAAUUUGUUAUACCUCUUCAACAAAUUCUUGUUGAGGGACACCAGUACGCCUUUUGAUAGCCACAAAAAUCCCAUCACAAAGCAAUCCUUUAUAAACUAUACCAAAACUUCCGUAUCCAAUGAGAUUGCUCUCAUCGAAGUGGUUGGUAGCUUGCUCUAACUCUUCCAUUGUGAAUUGGCUUGCUUCAUGUGGUCCAGUCAGAGGAUGGGCUACAGAAGAACUGGGCUCACCUCUUUUUUGUUUCUCCACUGUAAUAUAGUUGAGCAGGAAUUAACAAAACUAGACAUAGAAUUAUAUACUAGUUAUCUUUAUGUCUAAUUUUGUGACCCCUUGCCUACUGCAUAUGGAUCUGAAGAACCUGUAUCUGAAUUCUUGUUUGAGAGCUUUUUACACUUUAACAUGCAAAACCAUAUAACUCCAAUGACUAUUCCCAACAAUGCUAUAGCUCCUGCUGCACCUCCAAGUGUAACUGCAAAUGAUCGUGACAUCUGGUAUGAUCUCCACGUGGUUCACUGAAGACCUGAACAUUUGAAGCUGCUAUAGCGAAAAAGAAAAAAUUAUUCGACUGAAGUAUCUAAAAAACGUAAAACUUAUAAUCAAUCUUUACAUACUAGAGCCAAAAAUAGGAUUGCAGUUAAGUACCAGUUUAUACAAUUGGUGAGGUCAGGAACUCCAGAUCAAGUGGUCCUCUUUUAUACGAUGGCUUUGUGCUGUUCUCCCUACUCAAGUGCUUAUUGCGUCCGCUUCUUCUCUGAAAUGUUAAAUGGCUGAUCUCAAGUCUCCACUUGGGAAGUUGUAUUAUAGGAAGAACCCCAAGGGGUUAUUAACUCAUGUGAUAGUGAGUCUAGUGAUAAGUACCUUUCAAGGCGUAGGUGAUGAGUUCAAUACUUUGAAAAGGCAUGGCCACCCGCACAUAGUUUAAUAUGGGAUUACCAGGUGUGUGUUGUUGGGUGGGUAUUACGUGCACCUAGUGGUUUAUCAUGUGCACAACCUCAUCGUGAAAAAAGACGUAUAGUAAGGAUCUAUGCUGUCAAUUCUGAUAAAGAGAUCAGAGGACAACUCACUGUCUUUCAUAGUCCCCCACUGUACUGCCUAGUUUUCAGCAUAUCAUUGCGAUCACAUAGUGAAUCCUAAGAGAGCAUCAUUGCUUUCUUGCAUGACAAACCCUUGCUAUGUUUUCUUUGUUGGGUAGGGGUUGAUUCCACAGGACAGUUGAAGAAUUUAAGCUGAAGUCACUACAUUUCUUUUCCUGACAUAGACCAGUUGGUCAUAUAUUUUUUCAUGAAUUUCAUAUAUACUCCUAACAAUUUUCCUAUUUCUAAAUUUUAGUACCUUGGGUAGGAGCAGCUAUUCAUCAAAAAAAUUAGUUUCUCCUCAUCAUAUAGAAAAUAUUCUACUGUGUAAAAGGAUAGUGAUAUUUGAACAUACCUGUAGAGAUUCUGAACUUGUAUUAUCGUGCUUUGUAUAAACUUUGUGGAAUUUUCUUACUUAAAAAUGUGAGCUGCUGUUAGUAAACCGUAAAGAUUUUUUUCUAGGACAAGGAUGGAUUGCCACUGGAAUUCAAUAUUGUUGAAGGUUAUCAGAAGAGAGGUAGUUAUCAGACUAUCUUAUCAAUUAGAAGUCUCUUUCUUCAGUUCACUCUAUCUGCCAUUUGCCUCUUUCACCAUCUGAUAUGGAAAAAAUAGAGUGAGUUUCGAUAUUUUUGUAGUGGGAUGGGACUAUUCCUCAUAGAUGAUCAUGACAACUGAACCAACAAGACAAUAACAGAUAAAAAGUGAUGCAGGCAUUUAACAGAUAAAAACUUAUUUUGUUGGGAAGUGUGGAUUUCAUCUAGGGUUUAUGAUGCAUGGCCUGAUUAAAAAAGUUUUCUUUCUUACUAAUGUUUAGUUUCUUAAGCUGAAUAUCCUAUAAGAGAUAUAUUUUCUUUUUUAGUCCGUUCUAAAAUUUAAGAUACGAAUUUAUUUUCAGAGAAUAAAAUCACGUAAAAUUCCUAGCAUGCCAUCUUUUAGAUUUCACUGAUUUUUAGCAAAUGUUAAGGAUAUAUGUUUAGAAAAGUAGAGUUCUCGUUUUAGAAAUGUAUCUAUAAUUUUAGAAUGGGGGGAGUAGGAUUUUCCGUAACUAUGGUACCUUAAAAUACAAGAGUAUCAUUGAGAGUACUAUGUAUAGCAGCAUAGCAGCAGAAUUUGUUUUUUACUUUGCUGGAAAAGAAGUAGCUUAUGCAUGUGGUCCUCAGUCCAGCUAAUCUCCUUUCCUUUCACCCCCAUUAUUUCUUCUUCCACUUCAAGGUUUUGCUUGGAAUAGGUAAAACUUGACUGCAUUGUGGGGACUGUAAACUCAACUUCACAGCCAUUCUUUGGGCUCUCUACUUCUUCAAAUGUUGCUACUGGAAAUCUUGAAUGCUUGAUUUGUCAAUGUUGGAUCCAGUCAAGUGGAUGACAACCUCAUGAUCAAGUACAUUUGUUGUUUGUGCCAUUUCACCUUGUAGAAGCAUUUUAUAUCUUGUUUUUUAUGUGGGGACAAAUUUGUGGUGCUUUACACUAACUAACUAACUAGGCUAUUUUAUUCAGAUUACCUAAUAUGUAUCUCUAUUAUCCUAUGUUUUGAACUUUUGAUAGCAGGGACUAUUUGAAGUCUUGCAUGUAUAAUAAAUGUCUGCUUUUUUCUUUUUUACUUCCAAUUAGAUUAAGAUGGAUUAAAUGUGAUGCUGAUGAUGUGAGUUAAAGGGUUUUUGUGCAGGCAGCCGAGCAAGAGCAACCUUCAUUUUCAUAAUUACCAUCUCGACGACUAGUGUCAUGUCCAUGUGAAUCCAAUUUGAAACUGUAGAGGUUCUGAAUUACCCUUCUGCAUGGAGAAUAAGCUCCAUUACAUUGAUGAGCUUAUGAUGUUUUUGGGGGACUAUGGUGAUUUGAAGGAAGUAAGCCGUGGGGUUAGUUUGGUCAUUCAUGGUGGAGUGAGUCUCGAGACUUUAGAGAACUUAUGGGGCAGAUUGACUAGUUUGCCCUUUGGAAGAAAAAGAAAUUCUAGGGAUGUCUUUUGAGCAGAGGGGUGAAGAUGUUCAAAUUGCCACUUCAGAAGGGUAAAAGGCCUGUAAUAUGUUGUGUAAUUUUCGAGUCAAAAUAUUAAAUAUGGCAAUUUCAAACUAUUUCUCCUAUUUAUUGCACAGAUAUAAUUACAAUUACAAUUUUGUUUUACAUUUACAAAUGGGGAAAGUCCUCUUAUAUAAUCUC
rnacentral:lncRNA from 1 species